GGGAGUACGGUCCCAAGAUUAAAACUCAAAGGAAUUGANCGGGGGCCCGCACCAAGCCGGUGGAGCAUGUGGUUCAAUUCGAAGCAACGCGCAGAACCUNACCAGCCCUUGACAUNCCCGGUCGCGGAGAGCGGAGAGACACUCCUUCAGUUCGGGCUGGACCGGAGANCAGGUGCUGCCAUGGCUGUCGUCAGCUCGUGUCGUGAGAUGNUGGGUUAAGUCCCGCAACGAGCGCAACCNUCGCCCUUAGUUGCCAUCAUUUAGUUGGGCACUCUAAGGGGACUGCCGGUGAUAAGCCGGAGGAAGGUGGGGAUGACGUCAAGUCCUCAUGGCCCUUACGGGCUGGGCUACACACGUGCUACAAUGGCGGUGACAGAGGGAUGCAAAGGGGCAACCCUUCGCAAAUCUCAAAAAGCCGUCUCAGUUCGGAUUGGGGUCUGCAACUCGACCCCAUGAAGUUGGAAUCGCUAGUAAUCGCAGAUCAGCACGCUGCGGUGAAUACGUUCCCGGGCCUUGUACACACCGCCCGUCACANCCAUGGGAGUUGGCUUUACCUGAAGACGGUGCGCUAACCGCAAGGAAGCAGCCGGCCACGGUAGGGUCAGCGACUGGGGUGAAGUCGUAACAAGGUACC
rnacentral:rRNA from 1 species